CCAUACCAAACUGUUGCCUCGGCGGGGUCACGCCCCGGGUGCGUCGCAGCCCCGGAACCAGGCGCCCGCCGGAGGGACCAACCAAACUCUUUUCUGUAGUCCCCUCGCGGACGUUAUUUCUUACAGCUCUGAGCAAAAAUUCAAAAUGAAUCAAAACUUUCAACAACGGAUCUCUUGGUUCUGGCAUCGAUGAAGAACGCAGCGAAAUGCGAUAAGUAAUGUGAAUUGCAGAAUUCAGUGAAUCAUCGAAUCUUUGAACGCACAUUGCGCCCGCCAGUAUUCUGGCGGGCAUGCCUGUCCGAGCGUCAUUUCAACCCUCGAACCCCUCCGGGGGGUCGGCGUUGGGGACCUCGGGAGCCCCUAAGACGGGAUCCCGGCCCCGAAAUACAGUGGCGGUCUCGCCGCAGCCUCUCCUGCGCAGUAGUUUGCACAACUCGCACCGGGAGCGCGGCGCGUCCACGUCCGUAAAACACCCAACUUCUGAAAUGUUGACCUCGGAUCAGGUAGGAAUACCCGCUGAACUUAAGCAUAUCAAUAAGCGGAGGAA
rnacentral:rRNA from 1 species